rnacentral:tRNA from 1 species
GCCGCGAUAGCUCAGUCUGGUAGAGCGUUACCUUGGUAAGGUAAAGGUCUCGGGUUCAAUUCCCGAUCGCGGCU